UAGGAUUAAGACUCAUUUUUCUUUCUUUAUUAUUCUUUCUUUCUUCUUUAUUUCUUUAUUCUUCUUUCUUUCUUUUUUUUCAAAGUUUUUCUAACCGUGAAUAAAUUUCUGACCACUAAAAAAAGAAAAGAAAAAAAAAAUAAAA
rnacentral:ribozyme from 15 species